ACACACAAACACACAGUCACAGUGUAGAAACGUUCGUCGCAUCGGAGGUCAGUGGUUACUACGAAGAAAGCAAUAACUAGUGUAAUUUACAAUGUAUUUUGCUGAAAUGGAGGUGAAUUAGAAGAGUUGCACGAGCCUUUUUGAGGUGUGGUAGGUCAAGAGGAUAAGUGCUGAGGAAGAAGAAAUACCAAAUUGAAUGGAAAUACAUCCACUUCAUGGGGGCAAAAAGGGUAAUUUUGAGACCUUGAUUAUGAAUUCAAUAUCGCGAAACUACGGUUAUGGUGAAUACUGAAUAGGCUCCAAAAUUUUGGUUUUGUUACUGUUUCAUCCAAUGAUCAAUUGUUGUAUCCAAAUUGCAUACUCAACAUCCCCUUUUCUUUUAUUUAUUUUUUCUUUUUUAUUGUGA